GUAGGUGGCAAGCGUUGUCCGGGAAUUAUUGGGGCGUAAAGCACGCGCAGGCGGUUCCUUAAGUCUGAUGUGAAAGCCCACGGGCUCAACCGUGGAGGGUCAUUGGAAACUGGAGAACUUGAGUACAGAAGAGGAAAGCGGAAUUCCACGUGUAGCGGUGAAAUGCGUAGAGAUGUGGAGGAACACCAGUGGCGAAGGCGGCUUUCUGGUCUGUAACUGACGCUGAGGCGCGAAAGCGUGGGGAGCAAACAGGAUUAGAUACCCUGGUAGUCCACGCCGUAAACGAUGAGUGCUAAGUGUUAGGGGGUUUCCGCCCCUUAGUGCUGCAGCUAACGCAUUAAGCACUCCGCCUGGGGAGUACGGCCGCAAAGGCUGA
rnacentral:rRNA from 1 species